rnacentral:rRNA from 1 species
ACGCUCGACACCUACGGGAGGCAGCAGUGGGGGAUAUUGCACAAUGGGGGAAACCCUGAUGCAGCAACGCCGCGUGUGGGAAGAAGGUUUUCGGAUUGUAAACCACUGUUCUCAGGGACGAUAAUGACGGUACCUGAGGAGAAAGCUCCGGCUAACUACGUACCAGCAGCCGCGGUAAUCUGAGCGGGCUGGCAAGGC